GUGCCAGCAGCCGCGGUAACACGUAGGAUUCAAGCGUUAUCCGAAUUUACUGGGCGUAAAGCGCAUGCAGGCGGUUUGGUAAGUUGGAUGUGAAAGCUCCUGGCUCAACUGGGAGAGGCCGUUCAAAACUACCAGACUUGAGGACAGUAGAGGAAGAUGGAAUUCCCGGUGUAGUAGUGAAAUGCGUAGAUAUCGGGAGGAACACCAGUGGCGAAGGCGGUCUUCUGGACUGUUUCUGACGCUCAGAUGCGAAAGCUAGGGUAGCGAAUGGGAUUAGAAACCCGGGUAGUCC
rnacentral:rRNA from 1 species